rnacentral:rRNA from 1 species
AGUAAAAGUCGUAACAAGGUUUCCGUAGGUGAACCUGCGGAAGGAUCAUUAUUGAAUUUAAAUAAUAGAGUCUUGGCAGUUGCUGGCUUUUCAUUUUGGGAGCAAUUUGUGCACGCCUUACUCUUUUAUCCCUUACUUUAUACCCCUGUGCACUUGUGAGACGGGAGAGACCAAUUUAUUUAUUUAUCUUGGGUCUCUCGUCUACUAUAUAAUAUACAAACUCAUUUCAUUUAAACUGAAUGCAUUUGAUGUAACACAUCAUUGAACUAAGUUUCAACAACGGAUCUCUUGGCUCUCGCAUCGAUGAAGAACGCAGCGAAAUGCGAUAAGUAAUGUGAAUUGCAGAAUUCAGUGAAUCAUCGAAUCUUUGAACGCACCUUGCGCUCCUUGGUAUUCCUUGGAGCAUGCCUGUUUGAGUAUCAUGAAAAUUCUCAAAGCAAAUCUUUUGUUAAUUCAAUUGGCCUUUGCUUUGGACUUGGAGGUUCUUGCAGAUUUAUUUCUUGCUCCUCUUAAAUUCAUUAGCUGGAUCUCAGUAUAUUACUUGGUUCCACUUGGCGUGAUAAGUAUCACUCGCUGAGGACACUCUUGUAACAAAGGGGUGGCCAAGGGAAUACAGAUGAACCGCUUCUAAUCGUCUAUUUAUUUGGACAAAUUCAUUUUCAGAUCUGAUCUCAAAUCAGGUAGGACUACCCGCUGAACUUAAGCAUAUCAAUAAGCGGAGGAAAAGAAACUAACAAGGAUUCCCCUAGUAACGGCGAGUGAAGCGGGAAGAGCUCAAAUUUAAAAUCU